CCUACGGGUGGCAGCAGUAGGGAAUAUUGCUCAAUGGGGGAAACCCUGAAGCAGCAACGCCGCGUGGAGGAUGAAGGUUUUCGGAUUGUAACCUCCUUUUGUUAGAGAAGAUAAUGACGGUAUCUAACGAAUAAGCACCGGCUAACUCCGUGCCAGCAGCCGCGGUAAUACGGAGGGUGCAAGCGUUACUCGGAAUCACUGGGCGUAAAGAGCGCGUAGGCGGGAUAGCAAGUCAGAUGUGAAAUCCUAGGGCUUAACCAUAGAACUGCAUUUGAAACUGUUAUUCUAGAGUAUGGGAGAGGUAGGUGGAAUUCGUGGUGUAGCGGUAAAAUCCGUAGAGAUCAAGAGGAAUACUCAUUGCGAAGGCGACCUGCUAGAACAUAACUGACGCUGAUGCGCGAAAGCGUGGGGAGCAAACAGGAUUAGAUACCCCUGUAGUC
rnacentral:rRNA from 1 species